AGAAUCAACGCUGGCGGCGUGCCUAACACAUGCAAGUCGAACGCGAAAGUCCCGCAAGGGAUAAGUAGAGUGGCAAACGGGUGAGUAACGCGUGGGUGACCUGCCUUCGAGUGGGGGAUAACGUUUCGAAAGGAACGCUAAUACCGCAUAACAUGCCGCCUUUUAAGAGGUGGACAUCAAAGCCUGGGACCGCAAGGCCAGGCGCUUGUAGAGGGGCCCGCGUCUGAUUAGCUAGUUGGUGGGGUAAUGGCUCACCAAGGCAACGAUCAGUA
rnacentral:rRNA from 1 species